UGUUUGAAAAUUAAAAUUGAUUUAACUAUAAUAUCAUGAUAAACGUAGAAGGCAUUGUAUACUUACUGGAUCAGCUGGAUCAGUACUAGUAGGCGGCGUCGUGCUUGCUGGAUCAGUACUAGCAGGCGGGGUCGUGCUUGCUGGAUCAGUACUAGCAGGUGGCGCGGUGCUUGCUGGAUCAGUAGGCGGCGUUGCAGCUGCGUCGGCCAUGGUAGAGAUGGGGGAGAGAUGGAGAAAAC